AGUGUAGGCGGUCAAGCAAGUCAGAGGUGAAAGGCAUCGGCUCAACCGAUGUAAGCCUUUGAAACUGUUUGACUUGAGUGCAGGAGAGGUAAGUGGAAUUCCUAGUGUAGCGGUGAAAUGCGUAGAUAUUAGGAGGAACACCAGUGGCGAAGGCGACUUACUGGACUGUAACUGACGCUGAGGCUCGAAAGCGUGGGAGCGAACA
rnacentral:rRNA from 1 species